UUUGCAGUGAAGAAGAAGAGAAGCAGCAUUAAACCAUCAGAGCUCUGAGAUGAAGCACACUUUGGUCUGCUUCAUCUUCCUCACAGCACUUCAGGAUGGAAACACUGGUUUGGUCAAAGCACAAACUCUCACCCGCAGAGCAGAGGAAGGAGGAAACAUCACAGUUGCAUGCAGCUUUUAUUUGUCUGGAAGCAGGAAACUGUUCUGUAAGGAAAAAUGUGAAAAAGGAAACAUUCUUGUUGAAACAUCUGAUGAUGCAGCUCAGAACGGCAGAUACAGCAUUAAAUAUGAACAAACAGAUACUCUGUCAUAUACUCUGUAUGUGAGCAUCACACAGCUGAAACAGUCUGACUCAGGACGGUACAGGUGCUCUUUGGACAGAAUUUUGAGUCCAGAUGGAAACGAUGAUUUUGAGCUGAUUGUCACAGCAGCUUCAACCACUUCAACACCAAACGGGACUCUGAGACCUUUUUCAGCUUCAGUGUUUCUCUCAUCAGCCUCCACACCACCAACAACACAGAGUUUAAGCUCAACUUCAGGAAGCUCCACACCUUCAUCAGCCUCCUCUGAAACCAAAGAUGCAAGAUCAGAUGUGCUGAUUUAUGUGGGUCUGAUUCUGGUCGUUAUGAUCGUCAUCUUAUCAGCAGCUCUGCUGAUUUUCUACUUGAAGAGCAGGACCACUAAACCCAGAGGACCUCCUGUGGAAACAGAGUAUGCUGACAUGCCGGCAGAUAACCUCUGCUACGCUGAAGUGGAGUUUUCCCACAUUCCUGUCACCAGCAGCGCCCCCUGUGGUGAAGCAACUGAUGUUGUCUACUCAAUGCCUCAGGUGGACCUGAGUACUGCCAUCCACACCAAAGAUUCUUCACCUCCUCUGUACUCUACUGUUUCCUCACUAUGAAUUACAUCAGUACUUUUUUUAAACCUGUCCUGUCCAGCAGAAUAAUGGUCUGAAUGCUUUGUUGUGCCAAACAUAUUUGCUUUCCCAAGAGGAGCAGCAUAGACUCUCUGUAGGCUCCUCUUUUUAUGUUUUUGUUUUAUUUAUUUAUUUAAUUUCAUUAUUCAUUUUUUUCUGUAUGAAUAUUAUGUUGGAGCGGACAGGGGGUGAAGGCCAGACAGGUAAAAGACAGGAGAUGAAAUCAGAGGAACAGAAGAAGAAAAGGGACAGAAAAACGAGAGAAAACAAUGAGGGUGGGGGAAAAAUCGAGGAUGAAGUAUGCAGUUAUAUAGCCUAAUGUUAAAGUUGUUUUUAUUACAGCUGCUUCUAAUUUAGUUCAACAGAUACAUAAUUUAAAAAUGUUCCUUUUAUGAUUCUGGAUAAAUUUAGUGAAACGAUUGCAGAAAACAGACUGCUAUGAAACAAGAUAUAUUUUAAGGAAAACAAAAAGUGAAGAGAUGCAGUAAUCUACAUGUUUUUAAUGAAAAUAAACAUGAACAUUGACAUUU